GCCCUUGUGGUGUUAUGGUUAGCACACUUGGCGUGCAUUCUAGAGGUCCAAGUUCGAGUCCUGGAGAGGGCA
rnacentral:tRNA from 1 species